GUUUGAUCCUGGCUCAGAUUGAACGCUGGCGGCAUGCUUUACACAUGCAAGUCGAACGGCAGCGCGGGGCAACCUGGCGGCGAGUGGCGAACGGGUGAGUAAUAUAUCGGAACGUACCCAAGAGUGGGGGAUAACGUAGCGAAAGUUACGCUAAUACCGCAUACGAUCUAAGGAUGAAAGCAGGGGAUCUUCGGACCUUGUGCUCCUGGAGCGGCCGAUAUCUGAUUAGCUAGUUGGUGAGGUAAAGGCUCACCAAGGCCACGAUCAGUAGCUGGUCUGAGAGGACGACCAGCCACACUGGAACUGAGACACGGUCCAGACUCCUACGGGAGGCAGCAGUGGGGAAUUUUGGACAAUGGGCGAAAGCCUGAUCCAGCAAUGCCGCGUGAGUGAAGAAGGCCUUCGGGUUGUAAAGCUCUUUUGUCAGGGAAGAAACGGUGGAGGCUAAUAUCCUUCGCUAAUGACGGUACCUGAAGAAUAAGCACCGGCUAACUACGUGCCAGCAGCCGCGGUAAUACGUAGGGUGCAAGCGUUAAUCGGAAUUACUGGGCGUAAAGCGUGCGCAGGCGGUUUUGUAAGUCUGACGUGAAAUCCCCGGGCUCAACCUGGGAAUUGCGUUGGAGACUGCAAGGCUAGAAUCUGGCAGAGGGGGGUAGAAUUCCACGUGUAGCAGUGAAAUGCGUAGAGAUGUGGAGGAACACCGAUGGCGAAGGCAGCCCCCUGGGUCAAGAUUGACGCUCAUGCACGAAAGCGUGGGGAGCAAACAGGAUUAGAUACCCUGGUAGUCCACGCCCUAAACGAUGUCUACUAGUUGUCGGGUUUUAAUUAACUUGGUAACGCAGCUAACGCGUUAAGUAGACCGCCUGGGGAGUACGGUCGCAAGA
rnacentral:rRNA from 1 species